rnacentral:rRNA from 1 species
UUGCCGGCGACCGGCGCACGGGUGAGUAACGCGUAUCCAACCUUCCGUACACUCAGGGAUAGCCUUUCGAAAGAAAGAUUAAUACCUGAUGGUAUGAUGAGAUUGUAUGAUAGCAUCAUUAAAGAUUUAUCGGUGUACGAUGGGGAUGCGUUCCAUUAGGUAGUAGGCGGGGUAACGGCCCACCUAGCCAACGAUGGAUAGGGGUUCUGAGAGGAAGGUCCCCCCACAUUGGAACUGAGACACGGUCCAAACUCCUACGGGAGGCAGCAGUGAGGAAUAUUGGUCAAUGGACGAGAGUCUGAACCAGCCAAGUAGCGUGAAGGAUGAAGGUCCUACGGAUUGUAAACUUCUUUUAUAAGGGAAUAAACCCUCCCACGUGUGGGAGCUUGUAUGUACCUUAUGAAUAAGCAUCGGCUAACUCCGUGCCAGCAGCCGCGGUAAUACGGAGGAUGCGAGCGUUAUCCGGAUUUAUUGGGUUUAAAGGGAGCGCAGACGGGUCGUUAAGUCAGCUGUGAAAGUUUGGGGCUCAGCCUUAAAAUUGCAGUUGAUACUGGCGUCCUUGAGUGCGGUUGAGGUGUGCGGAAUUCGUGGUGUAGCGGUGAAAUGCUUAGAUAUCACGAAGAACUCCGAUUGCGAAG